GAUGAACGCUGGCGGCGUGCUUAACACAUGCAAGUCGAGCGAGAAGUUUUGAAAAGAUUCUUCGGAUGAAAUUUAAAAUGGAAAGCGGCGGCCGGGUGAGUAACGCGUAGGCAACCUGCCCCAUACAAAGGGAUAGCAUUUGGAAACGAAUAUUAAUACCUUAUGAAACUUAACUAGUGCAUGCUAGGUAGGUCAAAGAUUUAUCGGUAUGAGAUGGGCCUGCGUCUGAUUAGCUAGUUGGUGAGGUAACGGCUCACCAAGGCGACGAUCAGUAGCCGACCUGAGAGGGUGAACGGCCACAUUGGAACUGAGACACGGUCCAAACUCCUACGGGAGGGAGCAGUGGGGAAUAUUGCACAAUGGGGGAAACCCUGAUGCAGCAACGCCGCGUGAACGAUGAUGGCCUUUGGGUCGUAAAGUUCUGUUCUAGGUGAUGAAAACUGACAGUAACCUAGGAGAAAGCCCCGGCUAACUCCGUG
rnacentral:rRNA from 1 species